GUAGGUGGCAAGCGUUGUCCGGAAUUAUUGGGCGUAAAGCGCGCGCAGGCGGUCCUUUAAGUCUGAUGUGAAAGCCCACGGCUCAACCGUGGAGGGUCAUUGGAAACUGGGGGACUUGAGUACAGAAGAGGAAAGCGGAAUUCCAAGUGUAGCGGUGAAAUGCGUAGAGAUUUGGAGGAACACCAGUGGCGAAGGCGGCUUUCUGGUCUGUAACUGACGCUGAGGCGCGAAAGCGUGGGGAGCAAACAGGAUUAGAUACCCUGGUAGUCCACGCCGUAAACGAUGAGUGCUAAGUGUUAGGGGGUUUCCGCCCCCCUUAGUGCUGCAGCUAACGCAUUAAGCACUCCGCCUGGGGAGUACGGCCGCAAGGCUG
rnacentral:rRNA from 1 species